rnacentral:rRNA from 1 species
CCCUUAGACGUUCUGGGCCGCACGCGCGCUACACUGACCGGUGUAACAAGCAUCCGUCCUUGGCCGACAGGCCCGGGCAAUCUUUGAACGCCGGUCGUGAUGGGGAUAGACUUUUGCAAUUUUUGGUCUUCAACGAGGAAUUCCUAGUAAACGCAAGUCAUCAACUUGCAUUGAUUACGUCCCUGCCCUUUGUACACACCGCCCGUCGCACCUACCGAUUGAAUGGUCCGGUGAAGCCUCCGGAUUGGCGCGCACCUCGGUGCCGCCGAGAAGUUGGCUAAACCUUACCAUUUAGAGGAAGGUGAAGUCGUAACA